UGCAAGUCGAGCGGACAGAAGGGAGCUUGCUCCCGGAUGUUAGCGGCGGACGGGUGAGUAACACGUGGGUAACCUGCCUGUAAGACUGGGAUAACUCCGGGAAACCGGAGCUAAUACCGGAUAGUUCCUUGAACCGCAUGGUUCAAGGAUGAAAGACGGUUUCGGCUGUCACUUACAGAUGGACCCGCGGCGCAUUAGCUAGUUGGUGGGGUAAUGGCUCACCAAGGCGACGAUGCGUAGCCGACCUGAGAGGGUGAUCGGCCACACUGGGACUGAGACACGGCCCAGACUCCUACGGGAGGCAGCAGUAGGGAAUCUUCCGCAAUGGACGAAAGUCUGACGGAGCAACGCCGCGUGAGUGAUGAAGGUUUUCGGAUCGUAAAGCUCUGUUGUUAGGGAAGAACAAGUGCGAGAGUAACUGCUCGCACCUUGACGGUACCUAACCAGAAAGCCACGGCUAACUACGUGCCAGCAGCCGCGGUAAUACGUAGGUGGCAAGCGUUGUCCGGAAUUAUUGGGCGUAAAGGGCUCGCAGGCGGUUUCUUAAGUCUGAUGUGAAAGCCCCCGGCUCAACCGGGGAGGGUCAUUGGAAACUGGGAAACUUGAGUGCAGAAGAGGAGAGUGGAAUUCCACGUGUAGCGGUGAAAUGCGUAGAGAUGUGGAGGAACACCAGUGGCGAAGGCGACUCUCUGGUCUGUAACUGACGCUGAGGAGCGAAAGCGUGGGGAGCGAACAGGAUUAGAUACCCUGGUAGUCCACGCCGUAAACGAUGAGUGCUAAGUGUUACGGGGUUUCCGCCCCUUAGUGCUGCAGCUAACGCAUUAAGCACUCCGCCUGGGGAGUACGGUCGCAAGACUGAAACUCAAAGGAAUUGACGGGGGCCCGCACAAGCGGUGGAGCAUGUGGUUUAAUUCGAAGCAACGCGAAGAACCUUACCAGUCUUGACAUCCUUCUGACAACCCUAGAGAUAGGGCUUUCCCUUUCGGGGACAGAGUGACAGUGUGCAUGGUUGUCGUCAGCUCGUGUCGUGAGAUGUUGGGUUUAAGUCCCGCAACGAGCGCACCUUUGAUCUUAGUUUGCCAGCAUUUAG
rnacentral:rRNA from 1 species